UACGGGGGGGGCAAGCGUUGUUCGGAAUUACUGGGCGUAAAGGGUUUGUAGGUGGCUCGCUAAGUCAGACGUGAAAUCCCUCAGCUUAACUGGGGAACUGCGUCUGAGACUGGCAAGCUUGAGUGCAGGAGAGGAACGCGGAAUUCCAGGUGUAGCGGUGAAAUGCGUAGAUAUCUGGAGGAACACCGGUGGCGAAGGCGGCGUUCUGGACUGAAACUGACACUGAGGAACGAAAGCCAGGGGAGCAAACGGG
rnacentral:rRNA from 1 species